CAUGAGAGUGUUUAGCGCUCACCGGCGGGGGAGGCGCGCUCCUUGACCUCCUGGUCGAGGGAGGCGGAGGCCCUGAGGGAGGAGCGCGCGCUCCUCCUCCGGGACCUCCCCGCCGCGACGACGGAGACGCUCGAGGGGCGGCACCGGUUGGCCUGCGGCUGCGGCUUCGGCGCGAGGCGGCGCGCGGCGGUGGUGGUGGUGGCCGCCUGCAUCUGCAUGGCUGCGGAGGCGGAGGCGGAGGUGGGGGUGGGAGGGUGUGCCGCGGCGAGUGGGUGAGGGGUGGGGGUGGAGGUGAGUUUGUAGGGCGGGGGUGUGGCGGUGGGGGCUUGGGGGAUAACGGCCAUGGGUGCGGCUGUGCCGCUGCGAGGCCGGCCACGUCGGCCGCCGGC
rnacentral:sRNA from 1 species